rnacentral:rRNA from 1 species
UGCAGUCGAACGAAUCCCCGGGGGCAACUCCGGGGGGAAGUGGCGAAAGGGGCAGUAAGGCAUGGGUAACCUACCCCGGGGACUGGGAUAGCUAUUCUAACGAGUAGGUAAUACCGGGCGAGGUAACCCGAAGGCAUCUUCGGGUUACGAGAUGAAUUUCGCCUUGGGAGGGGCUCAUGUAGUAUUAGCUAGUUGGUAGGGUAACGGCCUACCAAGGCUGAGAUGCUUAGCGGGUGUGAGAGCACGACCCGCGCCACUGGCACUGAGACACUGGCCGGACUCCUACGGGAGGCUGCAGUCGAGGAUCUUCGGCAAUGGGCGCAAGCCUGACCGAGCGACGCCGCGUGUGCGAUGAAGGCCUUCGGGUUGUAAAGACUUUAGUGGGGAGGAAGGCGCAAGCUUGACCUAUCCCAAGAAUAAGCACGGGCUAAGUUCGUGCCAGCAGCCGCGGUAAGACGAACCGUGCGAACGUUGUUCGGAAUCACUGGGCUUAAAGGGCGCGUAGGCGGUCUGCCAAGUCAGGGGUGAAAGCCUCCAGCUUAACUGGAGAAGUGCCUUUGAUACUGGCGGACUCGAGGGAGGUAGGGGUAGUGGGAACUUCCGGUGGAGCGGUGAAAUGCGUUGAUAUCGGAAGGAACGCCGGUGGCGAAAGCGCACUACUGGACCUCUGCUGACGCUGAGGCGCGAAAGCCAGGGGAGCAAACGGGAUUAGAUACCCCGGUAGUCCUGGCCCUAAACGAUGGGUACUAGGUAGUGGACUAACAUGGGUUCACUGCCGAAGCAAAAGUGAUAAGUACCCCGCCUGGGGAGUAUGGUCGCAAGGCUGAAACUCAAAGAUUGACGGGGGCUCACACAAGCGGUGACAUGUGGCUUAUCAGGCUACGCGA